AGCUCUUAUAAGACCCAUCUCAGUUUCAUCCUUGAGUUGUAGUUGCUUCACUUCUGUCUUGGCUGCAAGGCCAUCAUCUUUAUCCGUUCCAUCGGUUGCAGCUACACAAUCAUGAAAUCUGAAGCAACUGAUGAGAUGGUCGUUUGUGAUACCAGCUACUUGCAUGAAUGAGUACACAACAGUAGGUCCAACUCCUCUGAAUCCUCUUUUAACUAGGUCUUUACUUAUCCCUUCAGCUUUCGAUGUCUUCAUUGGCACCUGCCUUGCAUAUCGGAAUUGACUAACUAUAGGUUUGUUAUUCACAAAACCCCAUAUGUAUUUGUCGAAGGAUCCAAGUUCAUCGAUGAUCUUACACGUUUGGCGUGCAUUUUCA
rnacentral:misc_RNA from 1 species